GGAUUGUAGCUCAGUGGUAGAGCACUUGCCUAGCAUGUGUGAGACACUGGGUUCUAUCCCCAGCACCA
rnacentral:tRNA from 1 species